CACGUAGGGCGCAAGCGUUGUCCGGAAUUAUUGGGCGUAAAGAGCUCGUAGGCGGUUUGUUACGUCUGCUGUGAAAACCCGGGGCUUAACCCUGGGCUUGCAGUGGAUACGGGCAGACUAGAGGCAGGUAGGGGAGAAUGGAAUUCCCGGUGUAGCGGUGAAAUGCGCAGAUAUCAGGAGGAACACCGGUGGCGAAGGCGGUUCUCUGGGCAUGUCCUGACGCUGAGGAGCGAAAGUGUGGGGAGCGAACAGG
rnacentral:rRNA from 1 species